GGCUCCUUGAAAUUAAUAUAUAAGGAGUCGGACCUGCCCAGUGAAAAGUUUCAACGGCCGCGGUACUCUGACCGUGCAAAGGUAGCAUAAUCACUUGCCUUAUAAUUGAAGGCUGGUAUGAAUGGUUUGACGAAAGCACACCUGUCUCCUUUUCGAUUUAUAAAAAUUAACAUCUAGGUGAAGAGGCCUAGUUAAAAUUGAAGGACGAGAAGACCCUGUCGAGCUUUAAGAGAAGAAGGAAAAUUUUAUACUGAUAAAUAUAUCUCCUUUUUUACCUUUUGGUUGGGGCGACUAGGGAACAGAUAAAGCUUCCCUUACUUAAAAAGCUUAUUUGUUAGGAUCCAGCACAUUAGUUUGCUGAUUGAAAAAAUUAGUUACCGCAGGGAUAACAGCAUAAUCCUUCUUGAGAGACCACAUCGAAAGAAGGGGUUGUGACCUCGAUGUUGGACUAGGAUAUCCUGAAGGUGCAGAAGCCUUCGAAGGUUGGUCUGUUCGACCAUUAAAAUCCUA
rnacentral:rRNA from 1 species